AUUACUUUUAGAGCAAGUUUAGCAGAUAUUUUGUGCACUCCAACGUCCGCUAAAAUUUCUGAUGUAUUUUUAUCGUUAUUACUGAGUGCUUCUUGAAGCAAUAUUGCUGAGCCCGUUAAAAUAUUUAAAAAGACUUACAAAGGAAAGUAUGAUUCUGGUUUAUUAAUAUACAAGCCAAAUAAUGGAAAUAGAUUUCUCAGAAUAUCAUACUGUAAUUGUUCGGCACCGCCAUUAUUGAAAUGAUUUACUAGCACAACUUCUUCGAACAGAAACUGAAAAAUAUUUAAGAAGAAGAAUUAGAAAUUAUAGGGAAAUUUACUUUUCCUUAUUUUCAUUUCGCAUACUUGAUCAAAUUGAGCUGCUAAAUUUUUCCAAGCUUGAUUAAACAACGGCAGGGCAAGAACAUUAUGCAAUAUGUGGAGACGCAUAGCUAACUCUUGGAACAUAGGACAACCACUUGAUGUUACCGAUAAUGAAGCGACUUCUUUAGAAGAUUGCAUUGCAAACCAUCUUGGAAUAAAAAAUAUUUUGUAAAUAAACAGAAAAUAAUUGUAAACAGUAAA